rnacentral:piRNA from 1 species
UCAGAUUGGAAGUGUUAAGAACUGAGUGGA